UACGUAGGUGGCAAGCGUUAUCCGGAUUUACUGGGUGUAAAGGGCGUGUAGGCGGGAUUGCAAGUCAGAUGUGAAAUUCCAGGGCUCAACCCUGGAACUGCAUUUGAAACUGUAGUUCUUGAGUGAUGGAGAGGCAGGCGGAAUUCCGUGUGUAGCGGUGAAAUGCGUAGAUAUACGGAGGAACACCAGUGGCGAAGGCGGAUUGCUGGACAGUAACUGACGCUGAGGCGCGAAAGCGUGGGGAGCAAACAGG
rnacentral:rRNA from 1 species